rnacentral:lncRNA from 1 species
UUAUCUAUGCAGUAUAAUAGUAGCGUUAAAAUUCAAGCUCCUUUUGGCAUUGUAACUGUGCUGUCUAAUUAUCAUGCAACCCAAAUAUCUAACUAAAUUGUGCUAUGGAGCUUGCACUAGCAGAAUGAGUUGCCAUCCUGAAUCAUAUGUGUAGGCUAGAGAGAAGUGUGGAAAUAGAUGUCGUUUCACAAGGAUAUUAACAACGGUUGCUUUCAUAUGUUGAUUUAUCUUUCUUCCUGUACUCAUUUGCAAAUAUCUAUCUAUGCAGGAGAGGUUGUAUGCUCAGGGAGGCACAAGGUCAGACACCAUGCUUUGAUCCUUAUGUAUACCUGUAACAUCUAUUUGAUUAUACUUAUAUGCUGGUGUAUUCUUUAUAUGCUUACAGUUUUAGUGGUGUGUAGAAAUAAUUCAUGCUUGGUUAGAUUGACAUAGCUAUUUGCCUAAUAAUAUAUGCUGGUGAGUUCAUGUUGGAUGCACAUUGAGCUUUCAAUUUUAAUCUUAUCUUCCAAAUGCUCAUGGUAUGUCACUUGCGUCAUGAAUUUAAGCAUACCUUGGUUUGAUUUCCAAUUUAUCUAUGAAUAAGAGUUUAGUAUUUAGAUGCAUGGGCCAGAUGUUUAUGCUCAUGUGUGCAAACUGACAGGGAGACCAAGAGGGAAUUUAAGCAUGAAUACACUCAGUGAGCAAUUGAAGAUAAUUUGUUCAGGAUGUCCAUGAACUGUAAUUUUAGGGAACAGGUUACUUCCUGUCUUUUCGUUUGCUUUCUCAUCUUUUCGUUCAUAUCCUAGAACUGUUGAAGCGGGAGGUGUCUUCACAUAUAUGUUCAUGCCGGAUACUUACAUUAUCAGACUAAAAUGAUCUCAGUGAGAUCACUGCUUGUGUCUGGACCUUAUUCGAUAAAUGCUUGAUUUUCUUCUGGUUUUUCCAUGGAUUGGCCAGUUUAAUUUACUUUGAAUUAUGAACUUUUUAAAAGACCAAAAAUCUCAAAGAUCUGUAACCUGAUCUACAAUUGUGAUUCUGUUUUUGCAUUGAUAAAUAUCCUUUUAGUCACACUGGGCAAGUAUAGUUCUAGGAUUAAUGCUUUGCUCUUUUUCCAACCUUAUCUUUGUGAUUAGAACAGAGAAUGGGAGCGAGGUAUAGCAUGAUGGCGGCACACACAAAUCCAUGUACUGUUUAUUCAUCCAUGGUGGUAAUAUUUAUUCUCGCAGAACUCUCCUCCCUCCUUCUCUUCUUCUCUUUCUCGGUCUCCCACUCUCCAUUUCUAUAUCAUAUUACUGAUACACUUCAUGUAGGAAGAAAGAUACGUGUCUGGUAUUUUCCUUCUCAUUGAUAUGCACCCGACCAUGGCUAUUUGUACUAAUUGUAUAAAUGACUUAGAGUUUGGAAAGGGAACUUUGUCUCGAAACGGUUAGAACAUAGCUGAAUAUAUCAAACAUGCUAAUGGCAUUGGAUUGACUUUUUGAGAAAUAUAAUAGAAGGUUAACCCUUCAAUAUUGUAGGUUUUACAAAUAUCUUUUGACAGUCCGGAUGUGUGUUUUCCUUUGACCCUGCAAAAGAAUUGUAAAAGGAUGAGCAGUUUUGGAAAAUACCAAAGGCACGUCUAAGCACAGUAGAAUGUCCACAUAUCUCUUUAUCGCUAUAUAAUUCGUUUCGGUACCAUAUGACCUAAUGUUUUUCAUUUUCCUUCUACUCCAGACCAGGCAAGCAACGGCAAUGCUGGACAGGCUACUCUCGCACCAGACUCCCUUUAGGGUAGUUACCCACGGGCACUCACUUCUGCCGUUUAUUAUUACUUGUGAUUCCGCUUGUUGUGACUGGCUUGAUCCAUGUUGCGGCCCAAUUAUUAUUUUUGUUUAGUUGCGAUGGAUCGUCUUGGCUUGCUUUUGGCACACCUGAUUCCACUACCUUCUGUUAUUGCUUGGACCAGUUUACUAUGUACUGAACAUAUUUAUAUCAAUGUUGUGCUUCUGAUAUAAUCUUGCUAUGUUAUACUGGUGAUUUCCAGUGAUUACUCUGAUUUCCUACUUGCGCCAGUGAGUAUACAA